ACCUGGUUGAUCCUGCCAGUAGUCAUAUGCUUGUCUCAAAGAUUAAGCCAUGCAAGUGUAAGUUCACGUCACGAUUAAGAAUGGUCGAAACCGCGAAUGGCUCAGGAACCGGAUCUAAUCCCCGGGAUCGUAUAUAUAUAUCCUCUACGGAGGUAAAUUGGAUAACUGUGGUAAUUCUAGAGCUAAUACAUGCAACUAAAGCCAUGAUCGUCGAAUGGUAGGUAUAUAUGUUGUUGUUGGUUAAUACCGAUCGGCUUAACGUCGUCGUCACGUACGUUUCUGUCUGUCUAGUCGGCGUCAGUUCCUCGUCCGUUGUCSUCCUCGUUGUCGUAGUGUAACUACUUUCAAUUUAUUACUCCGUUCGAGUAGGUGAUCGCGGCGCAACAUAUUAGACUGAGACCGAUGCGUUUUGCAGUUCGUCCGUAGUCGAUGUCGUCUUGCGCGUUCAAGUGCUGCUUGUAGAAAGGACACAGAAUGUUGUGUGUAAGAAGAAGAAUUGACUCGCAUACACACCCGUGUGUGUCGUGUCGGUCGUCGUCGUACUACUACUACUAUUGAUUCCCCUACUUAGUGUGCCUUGUCGUGUAGUCUUCUUCGUCUUCGCGUUUCUGUACACGCUCGCUAUUUGGUGACUCUGGAUAACACAAUUGUCGAUCGCUAUGGAUGCUGUUUAUUUUUCGUAAAAGGACACAAUUACCCGGCGACGGAUCCUCCGUGGGUCCGCCCUAUCAACUGUCGACGGUCGGAUAAUUGCCUACCGUGGUUGCCACGGGUAACGGGGAAUCAGGGUUCGAUUCCGGAGAGGGAGCAUGCGAAACGGCUACCACAUCCAAGGAAGGCAGCAGGCGCGCAAAUUACCCACUCCCGGCACGGGGAGGUAGUGACGAAAAAUAACGACGCGGGACUCUGUCGAGGCCCCGCGAUCGGAAUGAAUACACCUCAAAUCCGUUAAUGAGGAUCAACCGGAGGGCAAGUCUGGUGCCAGCAGCCGCGGUAAUUCCAGCUCCGGUAGCGUAUAUUAAAUUUGUUGCGGUUAAAAAGCUCGUAGUCCGAAUUCGGGUCUAAAAAAAAAACGUUUUUGCAAAAAAACGUUCGGGGCGUCGGCGCCAUUGUUCGUCAUUCGGACUUUGGUUGAUUUUUUAUUCCGUUCGCACACCCGGCCCUAUCCGCCGGUACGUAUGAGGGAAGGUAAAUCCGUUUGUAGUGAUGAUGAUGACGAUGAAAUUAUGUGCGUAGUAGUUUGUUUGCUUUUUAUUAAAAAUCGGUGCGUUUUUUGUUGUGAAUAUCACUGUUGGUUUCGAUGUGUUGGUGAUGUUGGUGGUGUUGUUGUUGUGUGUAAACCAAAAAUAAAGUCGAGUUAACUACUCUUUCUUUAAUAUAUUACUCAUUCACGACGUCGUCGUUGUCGUUGGURCGAAGAAAAAGACAACUUUAAUUUAUAAUACGUUCGCUAUUGGUGAAGAAUUGCUUUUUCUUUCUACAACAAUGUAAACAAAAGUCUGUGUCUCUCUAUUAAUAACGCGAUUUACUAAACGAGUUCGCGUCGUGUCCCUUGUUCGAUUCCUCCGAGGGUGCUCUUCACCGAGUGUCCGAGGCGGCCGGUAUGUUCACUUUGAAAAAAUUAGAGUGCUCAGAGCGAGCUCCGUUAAGCUUGCAUACGAUAAGCAUGGAAUGAUAGAAAAGGGCCUCGUCUACGUGUCUGUCGGUCUCCGUUUACGACGAGGCAAUGAUCGAAGGGAGCGGUUCGGGGCCACUCGUAUUGCGACGUUAGAGGUGAAAUUCUUGGAUCGUCGCAAGACGUACUGCAGCGAUGGCGUGUGGCAAGGACGUUUUCCUCGAUCAAGAGCGAAAGUCGGAGGUUCGAAGACGAUCAGAUACCGUCGUAGUUCCGACUGUAAACGAUGCCGACUGGCGAUACGCCGGCGUUCGCUUCGAUGACCCGGCGGGUAGCCUGUGGGAAACCAGAGUUGGUUCCGGGGGGAGUAUGGUUGCAAAAUCGAAACUUAAAGGAAUUGACGGAAGGGCACCACCAGGAGUGGAGCCUGCGGCUUAAUUUGACUCAACACGGGAAAACUCACCCGGUCCGGACACCGGUAGGAUUGACAGAUCGAUAGCUCUUUCUCGAUUCGAUGGAUGGUGGUGCAUGGCCGUUCUUAGUUGGUGGAGCGAUCCGUCUGGUUGAUUCCGAUAACGAACGAGACUCCAGCCUGCUAACUAGCGCGUCGAUUAGUGCUAGUUUAUGUAUAUCAUGUAUGUAUUGGCCAGUCGGUUAGCUGGCGCUUCUUAGAGGGACGGGUGGCGGAAAGCCACACGAGGCGGAGCGAUAACAGGUCUGUGAUGCCCUUAGAUGUCCGGGGCUGCACGCGCGCUACACUGGAGGUAUCAGCGAGGACUCAUCCCCUGGCCCGAGAAGGUUGGGAAACCUCUGAACCACCUCCCGUGAUAGGGAUCGGGGCUUGUAAGCAACCCCGUGAACGAGGAAUUCCCGGUAGGCGCGGGUCAUCAGCCCGCGUCGAUCACGUCCCUGCCCUUUGUACACACCGCCCGUCGCUACUACCGAUCGAACGGUCCGGUGAGGUCCUCAGAUCUGGCCGACGACGGUAACAUUGUUGAUGUCUUCGAUGACACGAUGAGAUUUGAUGUUGUUUUUGGAUAUUGCGAUUAUGAUUAUGGAGACGAUUUAAGAGAUAUAACGACUUUUGAUAUAUAGAGUUGCUUGGUUUCGUUCCGGAGUCGUAAAUAGUAUAUUCUCUUUGAUAUAGUUUGCUUGUUUUUUUAUUGACUAUUGUUGUUGUUUUCGUUCUUCUUCUACAACUUUGGUGUUUUGUUUGUGCUUGUCGAUUUCUUGACGUUGUCGUUUGAUGGCCCGGAGAAGACGACCGAACCCGAUCGUUUAGAGGAAGUAAAAGUCGUAACAAGGUUUCCGUAGGUGAACCUGCGGAAGGAUCAUUA
rnacentral:rRNA from 1 species